UCCCUCUCAGGAUCAUACCUGGAGAGUUUCCAGUACCCUACUAGUCUCGGUAAUGAGAGGGAGAGUCAAGCAGAAGCAUACCUAUUCCAUUCCUAGCUGGGCCGUUGGCUAGCAAGUGAAAGGCAAUCUGCUACAAGU